UUCUCCAUAGCAACAUAGGAUUGUACAAGUACAACUUCUUUAUAUCAUGUAGUGGUGGAGGUUUACCAGAAACUGGUUCUUCUUGGCUGAGCUUCUUUGGUGUUGGGGUGAAUGGUUCAUGGCUUUGGUUUGGACGUGACGGAGCGGAAUUGGCAUGCCAGUGUGUUUUGUGAGCAACGUUCGAGAUCCAGAACUGUGCGAUUAGAGCUUCAUCAUUAGACACAUCAAUGGUUUCUUUGAAUAACUCAUUGUUUCUUGAUGAAGAAGCAAAGCUUGAACAGCCUAGAACCGCCAAGCCUUCAUCACCAUUGAUUUUGACAGCUUUGGUAAUUUCCACCGGAGGACUCAUGACUUGCCGGAGACGUUU
rnacentral:lncRNA from 1 species